ACGUAGGCAGCAAGCGUUGUUCGGAAUUACUGGGCGUAAAGAGUGUGUAGGCGGUGUCGUAAGUUUGGUGUGAAAUCUCCCGGCUUAACUGGGAGGGUGCGCUAAAGACUGCGAUGCUGGAGUAUGGGAGAGGAAAGCGGAAUUCCUGGUGUAGCGGUGAAAUGCGUAGAUAUCAGGAGGAACACCUGCGGUGUAGACGGCUUUCUGGACCAUCACUGACGCUGAGACACGAAAGCGUGGGUAGCAAACAGGAUUAGAUACCCUGGUAGUCCACGCCCUAAACGAUGCAUACUUGGUGUGAGCCAUUCAGUUGGUUCGUGCCGGAGCUAACGCGUUAAGUAUGCCGCCUGGGGAGUACGGUCGCAAGGCUG
rnacentral:rRNA from 1 species